rnacentral:rRNA from 1 species
UUGAACGCUGGCGGCAGGCCUAACACAUGCAAGUCGAACGGUAACAGGAAGAAGCUUGCUUCUUUGCUGACGAGUGGCGGACGGGUGAGUAAUGUCUGGGAAACUGCCUGAUGGAGGGGGAUAACUACUGGAAACGGUAGCUAAUACCGCAUAACGUCGCAAGACCAAAGAGGGGGACCUUCGGGCCUCUUGCCAUCGGAUGUGCCCAGAUGGGAUUAGCUAGUAGGUGGGGUAACGGCUCACCUAGGCGACGAUCCCUAGCUGGUCUGAGAGGAUGACCAGCCACACUGGAACUGAGACACGGUCCAGACUCCUACGGGAGGCAGCAGUGGGGAAUAUUGCACAAUGGGCGCAAGCCUGAUGCAGCCAUGCCGCGUGUAUGAAGAAGGCCUUCGGGUUGUAAAGUACUUUCAGCGGGGAGGAAGGGAGUAAAGUUAAUACCUUUGCUCAUUGACGUUACCCGCAGAAGAAGCACCGGCUAACACCGUG